AUUGAACGCUGGCGGCAGCCUAACACAUGCAAGUCGAGCGGCAGCGGAAAGUAGCUUGCUACUUUGCCGGCGAGCGGCGGACGGGUGAGUAAUGUCUGGGAAACUGCGUGAUGGAGGGGGAUAACUACUGGAAACGGUAGCUAAUACCGCAUGACCUCGAAAGAGCAAAGUGGGGGAUCUUCGGACCUCACGCCAUCGGAUGUGCCCAGAUGGGAUUAGCUAGUAGGUGAGGUAAUGGCUCACCUAGGCGACGAUCCCUAGCUGGUCUGAGAGGAUGACCAGCCACACUGGAACUGAGACACGGUCCAGACUCCUACGGGAGGCAGCAGUGGGGAAUAUUGCACAAUGGGCGCAAGCCUGAUGCAGCCAUGCCGCGUGUGUGAAGAAGGCCUUAGGGUUGUAAAGCACUUUCAGCGAGGAGGAAGGCAUCACACUUAAUACGUGUGGUGAUUGACGUUACUCGCAGAAGAAGCACCGGCUAACUCCGUGCCAGCAGCCGCGGUAAUACGGAGGGUGCAAGCGUUAAUCGGAAUUACUGGGCGUAAAGCGCACGCAGGCGGUUUGUUAAGUCAGAUGUGAAAUCCCCGCGCUUAACGUGGGAACUGCAUUUGAAACUGGCAAGCUAGAGUCUUGUAGAGGGGGGUAGAAUUCCAGGUGUAGCGGUGAAAUGCGUAGAGAUCUGGAGGAAUACCGGUGGCGAAGGCGGCCCCCUGGACAAAGACUGACGCUCAGGUGCGAAAGCGUGGGGAGCAAACAGG
rnacentral:rRNA from 1 species